AAAAAGGCAAACCCUGGAUUUCUGUGUCCAAUUUUGAUUAAGUUCGUCUUAUAUGAAAAUUUUUAUAAUUCCUAUUUUUAUUAUUGUUAGAUGAUAAAACAUGAUUAAUAUUUUAUGCAUGACUUGUCUUUUUAAUUUUUUUCAUAAUUUUUUCAAAUAAGACGGACGGUCAAACGUUGGGCACGGAAACCAGGGUUUGUCUUUUU
rfam:Oryza nivara chromosome 6, whole genome shotgun sequence.